CCUCAACAACUCACCCACAGCUGCGUGGAAAUGCGAAAGCGCGUCGGCCAGCUGUCCGGCAGCGAGAAGCUUCUUUCCCAUCUCCAGGCUAACGCUACUGCUUCUGCACGGUGCGCUAGAUACCCGCUGCGUGCCGUUCACUGACUCACUCUAUCCGACGCCGACCAUUGGUCGUGGGGCGCUCUGAUUGGUUCAUCAUGCUCGAAACCCCGCCCACCAGGUCUUGUUCAACAGAGACCGGCCACGGCAUCCUUGCGGGCGUCGUGUUCAUCGAUGUGGCAAGUAUUUAAAAAAAAAAAAACAUUCUGGGCUCCUCGGUGUUUUAUUUUACAAAGUAAAGAUUUGCUGCCUGCGUGACACCUGCGUAGUCCCGAAGUUUAAACUUUAUUUGCAGCGACGCAAGAGGCACUUCUGAUGAGCACUUCUGCAGCUCCCAUUAGGUGUGUCUGAGUAAAGCUCUGGAUGGAAUGACUGUACAGGUGCCAGAGGCUGUGUCUGACGGUCUAGACAGCAAGAUUAAAAACAAAUACAGCGCCCUGUGAAGCCCCCACGAUGCACUGAGACGGUCUGUGACUGACCACACUUUAAUCACCAAGACGAACUGACCUCUGGAACUGACCAUUCAUUCAUAACCCAUUUGAAGCAAACAUAAAUAAAUCGAAAAUGGAUUGUCAGACAAAUGAAA